UCUCUCUCUCUCUCUCUCUCUCUCUCUCUCUCUCUCACACACACACACACACACGGGGGGGGGGGGAGAGAGAGAGAGAGAGAGAGAGAGAGA